CGACAAUGUGCUCGAUGUUACCAACUGUGCUCGUUACAUAAAAAGGAAAAACUUCUGCGCCAAACUCGUAAUACACUCGACGCCGUUUUAAAGCAUAUACUCUUGUACCACGUCCUCUUCCACCCCCGUUGUCAAGCCCACUGUUUCCCGGUUGAUUUCUUCCCCCGGACUACGCAGCACAUCCACUUCAUUCACUGCAUCCGUUCGAGCCGUGGGCGAUGUAAGACGCAACGUUGCAGCCUGUGCAGACGCAAGAAAGGAACGUUUGGGAAGGUUUCGCGAGGUUCUUUAAUAGAACAAGGGAAAGAGGCGCGAGGCGGAUCGGCACUCGUCGAGAAAGACGGUUCCAAAGACAGCGGAGGGCGACGAGGGUGAGGCUGGCAAACCCAAAGAAAAGGAAGAAAAGGACAAAGCCCAGGGAACUUGCAAAUCGUCCGCGCCAGCCUUCAAUGUUAGCUCAACGUAGUUUGCCGAGACUAUUGUUUAGCGGAUGAAAAAUUAUAUAGCUCGCGGAUACGUCCGGGUUUGUGCUACAAAACGUCGGUUUAAUGAUUGUUUUAACGAUAAUGUUACGGCCACCGUGUAUUUAGAGGUAAUGAGGUUCUGGAGCUUUUAGGAAAGUUGUAAAGUACAGGGAAGAAAAUUCAGAGAUAAAAUGCAUUUCGUUUCUAACUGAACUUGGUGUUUCACGAACAUUUUUCUUACUUCUGCAUGGGAAUUGGGUCAUUUUCACGAACCUUCAUUUCUUAUUAAUAUGUCAUGCAUGUAUGUACAUCCACAUUCUAAUAAUAGUUUUUACCCUUGAUGCCUUCAUUUCAAUCCUUCUGAACAGCAGAACAAAAAU
rnacentral:misc_RNA from 1 species